rnacentral:rRNA from 1 species
UACGUAGGUGGCAAGCGUUAUCCGGAAUUAUUGGGCGUAAAGGGCGCGUAGGCGGAUUGUUAAGUCAGGGGUGAAAUCCUGGAGCUCAACUCCAGAACUGCCUUUGAUACUGGCGAUCUCGAGUCCGGGAGAGGUGAGUGGAACUGCGAGUGUAGAGGUGAAAUUCGUAGAUAUUCGCAAGAACACCAGUGGCGAAGGCGGCUCACUGGCCCGGUACUGACGCUGAGGUGCGAAAGCGUGGGGAGCAAACAGG